CUUGCUGCCAGAGGGACUAGAAUACAUGGCUAUGGCAGAGUCUUUAUGCUUGUAAGAUGAAACAAAUGCAAGGGUGAAAGUUAAAUAGAAUCCCAAGCAGGUGUGUGACUGAGCUGAGAGGCAGGCAGGGCAACCGGGCCUCAGAGAGAGGUCAGAGUGACCCAGACAGCUUCGCCAAACUUCACCAAACAGGACUCUUUUUUUUCUGUCUUCUCAAGUUAGAUCAUCAGUGUUUUAGAGGAGAGAGAGGUGGGGUCAGAGGGACUAUCUAAAACCUGGAAAAAGUAACAGUAAAAUAUUUUAAUGGUUUUAUAAGAUUAUUUGAUUUUCUUCUCUUUAGGGAAGAGUAGUGAACUUUUCCUGCAAAGUCUGAGCUUAACGCUGAUACUUUAAAAGACAGGAGACAAAAUGAAGAAAAAAAAUGCAAAACAAACAGUGUCCACUGGAAGAAGAAUGUGCUGGAAAGACAGCAGCACCCGACUUCCCCAGCUCCUCUCAUCCCGCCAUCUUUACACUUCUUCUCGGUGGGACUGUUGGAGAAUGGGUGGCCUCCUGAGGAGCAGGAGGGAAAGGAGAUCCAGGAGUCCUUCCCAAGACUGAUCCAGACCCCAGCCUUCCUUCGUCUUUUAAGGUCCACCAUUGCAUAACACUGAACAUCCAUGUCUGCAGGCUGCGCCAAGCACACAGCACAGCAUCACCACUAGCAGCCACAGUGCACGCUAGAUCCCUGGAGCCAGCCUUCCUGCUUCUCUGAAGCCCUGUACACGUGGAAGUACGCCUCUGCACUCACAUCUCCCAGCCUGAUGACCACUCGGCUGUCCGCUGCUGUUCACGGAUGUUGCAAAUGUCAGGACUUAAGACUGAGUGGAAUUCCACUGGAUACAAGUCACAUUAAUUCUGUCGGUUGAUAGAUAUUCCUCCUCCAUGGACAGACACUCAGUGCUUGGAUAGACCCCUGGGCCUCAUGCAUGCCAGAAAAGUGUUCUACCACUGAGCUGCACCUGAGCCCUGGGGUAGGUGGCUUUGUAAGAAGAGAAAGGCCAACCCGGGCUAACACAGGCCUCCCAAGUUCUGUGAUGCCUCCGGCACAUUAUGACAGAGAAGGAAGGAAGGACCUCUCCAAAUGCAAGACCUUAAUAAUGGUUUUCCCAGCUUAGAGAACAGUGAGAAGUCCAUUUUGUUAGAAAUUUACCAUGUUUUGGUAUUCUAUAAUAGAAGGAGGAAAUGGACUAAGAUCUAUGGUAGAUCUGUACACAACAAUGAACUUCUGUAUUGUUUUCCAUACUGACCACAUUGAUGUAUAUUCCCACCCACAGCAUACAAGGAUCCCCUUUUCUCCAUACCCUCAUCAGUCUUAAUUCAUUAAAUAACAACCUUAUUCACAGAAAAAUGGACUUAAAAUAGAUUAAAGGACUCAGUGUUAGACCAGAACCUAUAAACCUCCCACAAGAAGACAGAGGGACAAAUCUCCCCAACGCUGGUCUUGUCAGUGAUUAUUUUGAUAGGACAUCAACAGCGCAGGUGACAAAGGAGAACAAGGAAGCAGAUGACACCAGACUCCGCAACAAACAGAACGGGAAUCUGCACAGCCAGAGCUGACAGGAGCUUAGUACCUCAAGUACACCAGGGACCCGGCAGCUCGUGGAGGAACACAUGCCCAGGGAAAAACUGCAAAGGAUCUCAACAGACAUUUUCCAAGGAAGACAAACAUAGCUAGCAGGAGUUCCACUGGACAUAUGUCACAUUAGUUCAUCAUCAGGGAAAUGCCAACACAAACCACAGCCAGGACUACACUUUUCUUCAAAGGUUCCACACAACGGCCUCUUCUGGAACAAGAACUGUGCUGUUUUGUCUUCCGACUCACUUGGGGCAACGUGCAGAUUAAGAACAAUAAAAACCCACAUGUGAGCAAUCAGUGACUGAAAGGCUCACGUAUUCUUAAAGACUUAUUUUCCAGAAUACUGAUGAAAAUGGCUUUAAUAGCAGAGAUUUUUGCUUGUGUAAUAUGGGAAGUGUGAUAUGUACCCACUCACUGCAAGGAAGGUGGGCAGCAUGGAAUGUGGACAGAAGAUUGAUGUGAAAAGGUGUGUUGUAAAUUGUAAGUGGUGAUAUACAUGAAGUGCAUUAUCGUGAUUAACAUGGGCAGGAUGGUAGUCUCCACAUCUCAUUGAAGCUUCUAUUUCAUUAAAUAUGGUUCCUGUCAUUUUUAUGUCUAGCUCUUGAAUCACCUCAAAGUUAGAUCAGAAAGAAAAAUAAAGCAACGACGAGAAACGUAGGAAACAGAUGAAAGGAAGUGGAAGAAAGAGCCGAUGAGGAGGAUUUAAUGCAGCCUAUGCUUCUGCGUGUGGGAAUUACACGAGGAUCAUUUAGAAUAAUCACUUCUGAAAGUGCAAAUCCCUUGAAACUGGUUGUAGCACUACUGGGAGCAGCUAAUAUGCAUCCAAAGAAACAAAUGAUGUUUUAUGAAUAAUGAUAAAUAUCUGAAUACAGAGCUUUUCCUCACUACACUGUCUUCAGAAACUGUUCAUGGAAAAGAAACCCCUUUUUAGUAGAGGUCAUUCUGUCUUCCGUUGGCCGCCACCCAGUGUCGGAGGCACUUUUCCUCUGGAGCAUGCCAUGGCCUCCUCCGGUACGUUCCCCAGCUCCUUCUCUGCUGCAGUGAGUUUCAAAUGCUGUUCAGUGUCUGGUGUCUCAGUGUUAUGUGUCUUGAUUCUUAUUCUUUUCCCUUGUCACAAAAAAGGCACUGAGUUAAUUUGUAAAUCAUCCCCUUGUCCUCCUUCAUUCUGUGAGAAGUAGAAAUGCCCAUAACUUUUGUAAUAUUUAUUCUAAUUUUACAGGUUAUUUACCAAGUAGGAGAAAUGUUGGUGUUGACUUUUAGUAUGGGAAUUAAUUAGACCUGGUUUUAUUCAGACCACUAGAAAAGCCAUCAUUUUUACACUUGUCUUCUCAUUCAUGUGUUUAGGGAUUAAUCUUUAGACUCCUCCUGUGUGCAGGGCAUCCCUGUGUGCUGGGGACGAGGCACCCCAUAGGAGAGGCAUAGACCCGCGGUGGUGGUGCUCACACUCCUGCUGGGAGAGGCUGGAGAUAAACAUGUGAGCAAAUGCACAGCCAUGACUUUCCUUCAGUGAUACAUGAAGAAAAACAGGGAGAAUAACAAACUAGAUAGUGAAGGCAUUGUGAAAAGAAUUGUUGUUUAAAUAAGGUAGCCACAAAGCCUUUCUCUGAAGAGACCCAAAUGGCUGGAGACAGCAGACUUGCUAGAACCCUGAGUGUUUCCGGCAGAAGCAGCAGAAACUGUGAAGUUCCUGAGAUUCACUGAGUUUGAUGCAUGGGAAGGGCACAAUAAGGCAGAGAAGUAAGGGAUGAGGUCAGAGAUACGUGGGGGCACGUAUUGUGGGGUACUGUGGGAGAGGUUGAAGAGGUUGGAUUUUAUUCAGAAUAUGAGGCCGAUGUGCAGGAGCACACGAUCAGGGGAUGACAGAAUGACUAAUCCACCUAGAUGGUCCAGGGGCAGAGCGUAUUCCGAGGGAGGCCAGAGUAGACCAGGGGAGGUUAGGAGGUAAGAGAGGAGAGCUGGGCGUGGGGAGGACAGGGGGGUGUUUAGCAGGAGCGUGACACACUGAAGCUGCUGGAGAUUAAUACAGGACUGACCCAUGGAGCUGUGGUCUCCGCACCUAGGGACAUGAUGCAGUCAGCCAAAUCCUGUUGAACUAGUGUGUUUCUCAACUGUGCUCUUGGGGACUCAGUUGCAGUCAACAGAAACCAUUCUGGCUGGUUUCUGCAGACAGCAAUUUACUAAUGGUAUUAUGUGGCCGAGGAAGUCCUUGGGGAGGACAGAAUAGGGCAGAGAGGUAAAGGGUCACACUUCCAGUGCCUCAGGAAGAUGCUGACCACAGGAGUGCCCUUUGUCAUGAGACAUGCCUGUCUGCCUGUGUUUGGAAUAACUGCAUUCCCCAACUAAGCCCUGCCCACGUGCCAUGCCUGUGAUUGGCAGAUGUUAAAUUCUAUUGGGAAACCUGAUCAUAACAAAGUAGGAGCAGCUGGGUGGCAGCUUCUCAGUCUGCAUAGUUCAGAAGAGUAUGCUACAGAGGGAAGGUAGCGACAGAGAGCAGCAGAUCCACCUUGGGACUGAAGUACGGAAAGCCAGGAGUCAGGGGAUAUAUUGGCACAGAGACAAAAGUGAACAGCAUCGGUAUGUGAGUAGCAUGAAAAACUGGAGCUCAACUAAAGCUCACCCGAGGGACAAAUGCAGAGGAAAAGAGGGUGAAUCACAUCAUCACCCAGGGCCUAGACAGCCGGGCUAGCAGAGAAGACCAGGAAGGCGAGACAGCCAGGAGGGGAAGGAGGAGGAGAAGGUGGUACCUUGCAGGGCAAACAGACAGGAUACCAGUAGCAGGCACUGCCAGUCACACAAAAUGACAUAGUGUUUAACACACUAUCAAGACAGACAUGACCCUAAGAUUUAGCCAGACAUGCCAUUGCAGCGGAAUAGUAGAGACAAAACUCUAAGGAGGCUGAGGGAAAAAAGAGUGUCAGAAUGUAGUAAAGUUGGCACCAACAGGAAACUCUCACUCUAGGCUUUCAAAUAAGGACAACUCUCUGACAUGAUUUGACAAGUGGGCUGGGAUUGGGACCAAAGCAACAUUUUAUAAAAUAAAGAAAAAGAAUACACAUGGUCAACUACUGACGGAAAUAAUGAUCUAGUCCCUUUGAGAUUCUGGUCAUCUCUCUGUUCUGCCCCACAUUCUCCUUUGAGUACAAAGUGUUUUGUUGUCACUCCUUGUUACAUCAUCUUAGUCCCAUAGUCAAAUGGGCAAGGACAUGAAAAUAACUGAAAUUAAAUAUGUUACCAACCUUGAUUGUUCCUGAAAACAAUGGAUUAUAGCUCAACUAUUCUCCUGUUUUUUUUUAUUCUUAAUAAGGAAAAUAAUACUUAAUAUUUUAAUUUCUAACUUUUUCAUUUGAUGGAGAUCUGAGUAAGUCUGAAGAAGGUGGAUAUAUUUUAUUUCUAACAAUUAUAUCACAAUCAAGAUGCUGACCAAAUCAAACUCAGACAUGUAAGUGUUCAUGAAUACUUGUUAUUAUUUUCUAAAAUUAGAUACUAAAGAGUUUUUCCUACCAAAUAUUAAAAUGUUUAUAAUUAUUUUAACCAUAUGAAGAAAUGUAUUGUUUUUUUGAAACAUUUUCUUGCUUUGGUUUGUGGUAUUUCAACUGAUAGCAAAACAUCUCUGAGUAAGAGAGGGUCAAUAAUAUUUUGUGGGAAAUACAUUGUCAUUAAAAGUGAAACACAUUAUAAAAGUUAUGCCACUACAAUGCAUAUUUUUUUGCCUUGGUAUAGAGGGUUCGAUAUUAGAUUGUAAUGGACAAAUAAUUUUACAAGGAAAUAAUACAGAUCCUCUAUAUGUUUUUCUAUAGAAGUUGCUUUUUUUAGGUGAUCACUAAGGACUUUAUCUCCAGAUUAGUUGGUAAUGAUUCAAGUUUAAUUGCUAUAAUUGCUGACAGUGAUAAAUAUUUUAAGUUUUGUCUCAAACCUAGAUUUCAAUCUGAUGAAUGUGCUUUCAGUUAGCAGAAAUGACAAUAUCUACGUCACAGAACUGCUGUCACAGCCAAUGAUAAGAUGCAAACGGCCCCUCUAAAAAUUCUGUGGCUAAGGCACUGGGGUUGGGGAGGCCGCAGUAUGGUAGCCACAGCUCCCCAGGCAGUGGGCUGAGAACGUGCCUGGAUCCCAGCCCAUCACCAACUAAUCUGUGAGCUCCAGGCGUCAUUUCAACAUGCAAACCAGUGGAGAGAAGAGAGCUUCAAAGGGUGCAUGAGAGGGCAAGAUAAGAUGGCAGCAGGGACUCUCUGGGUAUCCAGUAACACAGUUAAUGUUUUCAUUCUCUGAUUUCUCAACUGUGUCACUUUAGUGAUGCUGCACCACCAACAGGUAAGAGUUUGGUCUGUGUAAACACAAGAAGAUUAGCUGUAACUAGUCAGGAGAAUAGGGUGGGACAGUCCUCUAAACCUUCUGCCAGUUUUGCACAAACAUUCCCUGCUGCCUCCUAACACUGCUUUCCAGCACAUGGCCCCUAACUAGAGGGACAGACCGCUUUUACCAACCCUCAUGUGCUGCCCCACUUCUUCCU